rnacentral:rRNA from 1 species
UACGUAGGGUGCGAGCGUUAAUCGGAAUACUGGGCGUAAAGCGUGCGCAGGCGGCGCGUUAAGACAGGUGUGAAAGCCCCGAGCUUAACUUGGGAAUUGCGCUUGUGACUGGCGUGCUGGAGUGUGGCAGAGGGAGGUGGAAUUCCACGUGUAGCAGUGAAAUGCGUAGAGAUGUGGAGGAAUACCGAUGGCGAAGGCAGCCCCCUGGGCCAAUACUGACGCUCAUGCACGAAAGCGUGGGGAGCAAACAGG